UCUGUCAAAAAUAAGUCUACUCCAGAGGAGACUUAUUUUUGACAGAUCGUGAAUCAUUUGCAUCUAGUGGAACAUCGCUAGAUUGUUAUCAUCAAGUUAAUCUGAUUGGCAUUACAUACGGGCAUUACGUUUUGAGGACUGAAUUUCUUUAUUUAAAAUGGAACCACAACAUAAGAAAAUGAGCCGAAAAGCAUUGCAGUGCAGACGAUAGGUUUAGCAGGCGGCAUUUGCUCGGACUUCAUUAUGAAAUCUGUCGCUGAAACCUCACGUUAUCGGCCGAGAUGAUCCCGCAGAGCAUUUUUCAACUUUUCGAGUGAGCGAUGGUUGCAGACGAGAGUGGUUUGAAGAGGAAACUGCAUGAGGCCGAGUUUCCCGAGGAGUUGCUUCAAACAGAAAUCUCGAAAAGCACUAUUACCACACCACCAAAUGAAGAAAAGUGCAGUUUCGGUCGAGUCAGGAGCAAACAAUCGCGCAUAAACCAUGCUCAGUACGUUGUGGGUGGAUCUACUUUGUUUGAGACAGAUAUUCCACAGAUAGUGCGAAUUCCAACGUUCAGGAAAAUAUGUAGGGGAUCAUCGAAAGCUCUUCUCGCUAUAAAGAAGUCUGCUUUCUCUUUAAAAGAAAAUGAACAGAAAAGAAUGGCCAAUAGGGAAAUCAUUUCCAUUCGUAAAACCAAAUUUACCAACGUUGAAACGUAAAACGAAAGCAGUGGGUUCUGGCGUUACGGUUUAACGGUGACAUAGCUUGUUUCUCAACUCAUUAUUCUAUGGGAACAUCUUCAACUAUUAACUAAGAACUGUAUUUGCCAAUUGAUCAUUGUAUCAUUAUGUCGAAUGCCAAUCACAGGACUGGUAGCAAGUCUCUUUUAAGAGACUGAAUAUUUUAAUACGAGUUUCCGUAAAGUUUCUAUUAUCAAUCGCAGAUCGUCAAAAUUUCUUUUCAAUCAAAAUAGUCUCUAAAGUCAUAUGCUUCUUGUUUCCCCUUGCAUUGAAUCUUGGUGCAUGAUUCUAGAGACUCCAGAAUCCUUCAGAAGCUCUUACGUGCCUAUACCACAGUUUCACCAGGAAUUCAUUAUCAGGUUUCUCAAGAAAAAGCUUUGGGAACUAUUCUUGCGAUUUCUCCAAUGAUUUCUUCUGAAAUAAUUUCGUAAACUUUUAAGUGCAUCCCUCGAAACACUACAAUAUAGAUUCCUCGUCAAUUCUCCCAGGAAUUUUGCCAGAGUUUUUUUUUUUUUUUUCAAAGUAUGCUUAGAGAAAGUGUUCUCCAGUAAUUUCCACAGGGGCCAUUCUGAAAAUUUUCCUGGUAUUUCCCAAUUGUCUCCAGCACACUCCAGGAUUUCUCCUGGAUAUGUUUCCAUUAGAAAUUUGUUUAAGCAAUUUUCCAAAGAAAUUCUACAAUUCUUCCAGGAGGUACUACCCAGCUUUGGGCAGUUAUUCUCCCUGGAAUCGGCCCAAAAGUUCCUCCAGGGAUCAUUUCAGAAAACCUAUUAAGAACUCUGCUAGUGAAUCUAGCGGCAUAUUUUU